GAGGAUUUGGGGGUUCAGGCAGGAUUUGGGGGUUCAGGAGCCGCCGCCCCUCGCCCUGUGUCUCUCUGGGCACCCCGUGGCCGCUCCGGUGCCCGCUGUGCCAGGCACUGCUGGUGGGGGGCAGGAACCCUCGAACCCGGGAACCGGGGUGCCCCCAGCAUGUCGGGGAAUCCCCAGGAUGUCGGGG